rnacentral:rRNA from 1 species
UACGUAGGGGGCUAGCGUUGUCCGGAUUUAUUGGGCGUAAAGAGCGUGUAGGCGGCCAGGUAGGUCUGGUGUGAAAACUCGAGGCUUAACCUCGAGAUGUCAUCGGAAACCAUCUGGCUAGAGUCCGGAAGAGGAGAGUGGAAUUCCUGGUGUAGCGGUGAAAUGCGCAGAUAUCAGGAAGAACACCAAUGGCGAAAGCAGCUCUCUGGGACGGUACUGACGCUGAGACGCGAAAGCGCGGGGAGCGAACAGG